GAUGAAGAACGCAGCGAAAUGCGAUACGUAAUGUGAAUUGCAGAAUUCAGUGAAUCAUCGAAUCUUUGAACGCAUAUUGCGCUCUCUGGUAUUCCGGAGAGCAUGCUUGUUUGAGUAUCAGUAAACACCUCAACUCCCCUUUCUUUUUUUGAAAUGGGAGCUGGACUUGAGUGAUCCCAACGCUUUUCUCACCGAAAAGUGGCGGGUUACUUGAAAUGCAGGUGCAGCUGGACUUUUCUCUGAGCUAAAAGCAUAUCUAUUUAGUCUGCCUAAAAAACAGAUUAUUACCUUUGCUGCAGCUAACAUAAAGGAGAUUAGUUCUUGUGCUGACUGAUGCAGGAUUCACAGAGACAGCUUCGGCUGGCCUUUGUAAACUCAAUCUCAAAUCAAGUAAGACUACCCGCUGAACUUAAGCAUAUCAAUAAGCGGAGGA
rnacentral:misc_RNA from 1 species